rnacentral:rRNA from 1 species
UGGUAAUUCUAGAGCUAAUACAUGCUAAAAAUCCCGACUCCGGAAGGGAUGUAUUUAUUAGAUUCAAAACCAAUGCCCUUCGGGGCUCCAAUGGUGAUUCAUGAUAACUUCUCAAAUCGCACGGCCCCGCGCCGGCAAUGGUUCAUUCAAAUUUCUUCCCUAUCAACUUUCGAUGCUACGGUAGUGUCCUAGCAUGGUUG